AUUGGUAUCAAUCUUCUUAGCAAUGGCGAAUGAAAACUUAGCGGGACCGAGUUCGUGUGCUCCAUUGUUGGGUUCUUCAUCGGAAUCAGAUGAAGACGAAGACAUCACAGAGCAUACGAAAAAACGUCGAAGGCAAAAUAAAGUUUGGGUUUUUGAAAGAAAAUUUUCAACUGUGCGGAGCGCAGAGGAAUUUAUUAAAAAUGAGAAGACAUGGUCAAUACAAAAAAAUCAUAUGACUGAAGAAGGAGUUAAACGUUACUAUCGUUGUAACAAAGUGAAGGUUCGUUCUGAAGUUCAGUGUUCUGCUGCGAUUUAUCUUUUAUUUGACGCAUCAUGUGAUGAUAUAUUAUUAUUUCGUACUGAAAAAUGUCACGACCAUGAUAAUUGUGACUGUCGGUCGACUAGUGGAAUAAAUGAGGCAACGAAAAAGGAAAUAGAAAAACUAUUCGAACUGCGUUUGAAACCUAAAUCUAUUAUGAAGAACUUAAGUAAAAUUAAUGGACUAGUUCUGCCGACUAAGUUACAGUUAAACAAUUAUCUUAAAAUCAUACGUAAGAAAAAAUACGGGCCAUCGGUAAUAAGCUUGGGACAGCUUGAGUUAUGGUUAAAAGAAAACUCUAAGAUACCUGAUGACGAUCACGAAGUUUUUGUUUUGGCCUAUGAAAUUUCUGAAGAUGAUUUAGAUCAGAACUUCCGGUUCAUGUUAACGACGAAAUAUUUAAUUGGUCUAUCACGUCAAUGUUCUGUUCUGCAUGCGGAUGCCACGUAUAAGCUUAUUUGGCAAGGAUUUCCAGUACUUGUGAUUGGAACUACAGACAGAGAUAAACAUUUUCACCCAUUUGGACUAGCGGUGACAACAGCAGAACGAACGGAAGACUUUAUUUUUUUAUUUUCUGAAUUAAAGAAAGCAGUUUUCUCAAUUUUCUCAUACCCUUUAACUUGUAAAGUUUUGGUUUGUGACGCAGCGAAGGCUAUACAAACAGCCUUUGCGUCCACAUUUGGAACAGAUACAGUCAUAAGAAUGUGUUGGGCGCAUGCGAAAAAGAAGAUGCAGACAAGAGUAGAGCAAAGUGUGCAAAAGAAAUCCCAAAAAGAGAUCUUGGAAGAUAUUGAUGCUUUACAGUGUGCCUCAACUCAGGAAAUAUUUGAUCGAGCCAGCGAAAAAUUUUUGGACAAGUGGAAAUCUGAAAACGAUUUUAGUGCGUACUUUGAAAACGAGUGGCUCAUACUAAAUCGUUUCUGGUAUUUGGGCGCAUCUCCGGGGACUCCUGCUACAAACAAUGCUCUAGAAUCCUUUAAUAAAACAAUAAAAGAUGGUGGCACGCUUCGUGAGCGUCAUCCUUUGGCGCGGUUCUUAGUAAUCGCUUCUGAUAUAGUCAAGGACUGGUCUAAUGAAUACAUCACUAAUACUGAGAGACGGUUCGCUAAACUGCCGACAGUAUCUUUAAAGACGUGGACAGAAAGUUACCAAUGGGCAAAACUGUCGAAGCAGGUGCCUUUAAAGAAUAGCACUGAACUAGUUUGCUCAUACAGAAUUCCAGCUGGGUUAGAUUUAGAAUGCAAAAAUUUUGAAAAGCCAUGGGAAACCUUUGACGAAUACAAAGAGCAACAUUUUAAAGAGUGGGAAGUUAUAAUGCCCCGAGAAAAGGAAAAUUGGUUGCAAGGCACAUGCAAUUGCCCAAAGUUUCUCAAAAAUUACAUUUGUAAGCAUCUCGUUGGAUUGGCGAUUCGGCUUAAGCACGUCCAACCACCUUCAGAGGCCAGAACUAUUCCGAUUGGCAUGAAGCGCAAAAGAGGACGACCAGCCAAAGCCAAAAAAGCGUUAAUUGUGCAGUAAAUUGUUACAGAAGACUGAUUCUUAUUAAGAUUUUAAUAUUUGUUAUUAAUUAAUUAUUAGAGGACUAACUUUUUAUGUUUGUUUAUAUAAUUAAAAAAAGGAUGAUUAAAAUUGUAAGAGUUUUAUUUUUUCUUUGUUCAAUGUGUUUUUCAAUACACUCCCUCGAAAACACAUUCUUAUCGCACUGUUUAGAAAAAACUAGUGCAGGAAAAGGCGCAGUCUAUCCCCCGCCCCACUAUAAUAUUUUUACAUUUAUUGUAUCAGGCCGAACGCGCAUCGUCCCUCACGAGUCGCGGAUCAUCUCCCGUUCAUUAAUUUCAGUGAGCAUUGAAAAACGUGCAAAGUCAAUGCAACCCUCGGCUCUUUGGGUUUGAUUUUUUUGGAGUCAGUUUACUUAAACAGGAUAGCAAGGUGUAAAAACUUUGAUUAUCAUUUUAUAUUAAAACGCUGGUAUAAUUUUGGUGAUCAUUUACUACUUUUGGGAUAACAAUGAUUUAUUUGGACUCAUUUUGCUUAAAUAGGAUAGCAGAAUUUAAAAACUUUGGUUAAAAUUUUACUUUAAAAUGUUGUUUUAAUUUUGGUGAUCAUUUACUAUUCUUGGCUUACUCAUGAUUUACUUGGAGUAAUUUUACUUAAACAGGAGAGCAAAGUGUUAAAACUUUGGUUUUAAUUUUACAUUAAAAUGCGAGUUUUAUUUUGGUGAUCAUUUACUAUUUUUGUCUGCUAUUUGUUACUAUAUCUGGUGGUGAGUUAAACAUAAGCCAAAUAUAUUUAUACCUACACAUCGUCUUAUUGAUCAUAAAACUCUUUUUCUUUUCGACUUGUUAUUGAAAACGCGACUCCACCUACUACUAAGCUAAUGAUGACAUUAUCCAAUCACAAUACAGAGAUUAAGGGCUGUUAACUUAGUAAUUACAAUAACUAAUUAGAUUUAGCAAGUACUAUACUCUUUGCGCUGUAGCAUGGUGCGGGUGACAGUUACCUGUAUGACGUUGACAUCUGUCAAUACCACAUGACUAGGGAUGUGACCUUAUGCAAUUCAUUUUUAUCGCUAACGAUACUCGCGGCAUAAACCUAGUUCUCUUUAAAUAUUGUUAUGAAAAUUAGUGUGUUAUUCAGUUCUGCAGUGUAACUACAUGUAUAAACUUGUCAAUAUAAAUGUUUUAAGGCUACAUAAUUAUCUUUGUUCUUAUAUAAAAUAAUGAAAAUCGGGUUUGUUUUUUUUCGUGACAACAUUUUUGCUCUAUGGCGCGGCGGCCAUUUUGUUUACUCCUCCGAUGCUGUGAGUACGAAUACGAGUGCUAGCGCCUUGACACGUAUUACGAUUUCAUUAUUUGUUUUCAUUUUUGUUAAAUUGUUAUUUGUUAUAAGUUUGUUAAGUUUGUUGUUUUAUUUGUUAAAGUUUGUUGGUUGAAUUUGUUGUUAUUACUAUGCCUAAGCAUACAAAAAAAAAACAGUUUUGGGUAGUCAGGCCAGGGAGCUUGUUGUUCGCCUCCGAGACUACUUUGAAAGAGAACAACAAAAUAAUGGACCGUUGUUACCAUUGAAUCGAAUUGUAGAACGAGUAGCCGAAGCUCUUGAUAUUGGCCGCAAUACUGUUUCGCGUAUAACACGUGAGAAAAUCGGCCAAGAUGGGAUGUCUGAAAAUAAAUUAUCGACACCCAACAAAAAGCGGACCAAGGUGAAGCCAAUCACAGAUUUAGAUGAUUUUACUAGGGUUGCUAUUAGAAAUCAUAUUUAUGAUUAUUAUAGAAGAAUGGAGCUACCCACAUUGCUCAAGCUUCUAAAAUCAUUAAAAGAAGUUGACUUGUUCAAAGGAGGUAUUACUUCGUUGCGGCAAGUUAUAAAAGAUAUUGGCUUUGUUUACAAAAAAGUUAACAAAAGGAAGAUUAUCAUGGAGAGGACUGACAUUGCCCUAGCAAGAUGUACAUUUUUAAGGAAGGCUAAAAACAUAAGUGAUUGGAGCAAAGUUGUCUUUUUGGAUGAAACGUGGCUAAACGCCAACCACACAGUGGCUAAAAGUUGGACCGACGAUACGGCACAAUCGAGUACCAAAGUACCGGAGGGCAAAGGCGAACGCCUUAUUAUUUGUCACGCAGGUACAGCAAGUGGAUUCGUCCCUAAUUGUUUGCUGGCUUUUAAGUCAAAAAAAACUACGGAGUAUCAUGAGGAGAUGAACUACGAAAAAUUUAAAGAUUGGUUCAUAGGUCUAUUAAAUAAUUUAAAAGAGCCUAUGACCAUAAUAAUGGACAACGCACCCUACCAUUCGGUACAAGUUAAUAAACCCCCAAACCAAUCCAACCGCAAAAGCGAGUUGGUGAAGUGGCUGAGUGAAAACGGAGUUACAGCGGAUAUAAAAAUGUUAAAGACGGAGCUUAUUGCCUUAAUCCGGCGUCAUAAGCCACCAACUCCUACCUAUGCUCUGGACGAGAUAGCAAAAGAAAAAGGCCACCAGGUCCUUCGACUACCACCCUACCAUUGCCAGUAUAAUGCUAUUGAGCUGAUUUGGGCUCAAAUAAAAGGUCACGCCGCAAGAAAUAAUACUUCGCCGCCCUUUACGGCAAAUAAGAUGUUGGCCCUAUUACAAGAGGCCAUCAACAAUGUUCAUCCUGAAGACUGGUCGAAGGUCGUGAAUAAAACAAAAAGGGAUAUUAUGUCUGAUUGGGAUCGUGACAUACAUAUUGACAACAUAAUUGAGUCUUCGUUAAUAAUAUCCGUCACAGAUUCAGAUGAUGAAUUGAGUGAGAAUUCAGAUGUUACUGACUCUGACAUGAGUUUAGACGAAUAAAAUGUAUUUUUUCUCUGCAACCAUGCCCUAUAAAUGUUCUGUUGUAUAAUUAUAGACCUUUUAACAACAAAAAUUGAUAUACGCUCAA